CCAGCGCAGCGGAGGAGUUAAACCCCGCCGCUGUCCUUGGGUUUUAGGAAACGGCUCAUCCAAUUCGGUUCCAGAUUAUUCAGGGGCAGGCUGACUCGCUCGCUCCCCACACCAGCCCAAACAUCUUGAAGUAAUCAGCAGCUGAGAACGGAGACGUCCCCCUGGCAUCUCAGGUUAAAGAAGGAGGUCCAGGAAAAUGUGGUAGAGCCAUUACAAGAAACCUGAGAUGCAUUCAUCAGAGACUCCAAUUGCCAUCGCAUUAGGAUUGAUUAGAGACCAGCAGUACCGUAAUGACCCGGAAAGAGGGGCAUACGGGGAUUAUUAAUAUCAGACUUUUUUUUUUAAAAAAAAAAAAAAAAAAAGGAGGAGGAAAAAAAAAAAAAAAAAAAGAAGAAGGGAGGAGGAAGGAGAAGAAAAGAAAUCGCAUUGCAGGGCUGCUGCUGCUGCUCGUAUACAAACUUACCUGGGGGAGUGCGGGCACCGGAGAGCCACCCGGGCGGCCACCUCGCUGCUGCGAGAGCACAAACGGGUGGCACGGGAGUCUGGGGCCCCCCAAAAUCUCCCGGGGGGCGCAGGCUGCAGGGGGCGGCUCGGGGAAGGGGUCCCCGAGCCGCCGGGCCGGCGGCAGCAAGGACGAGUUAAGGAGGCUCCGAGAGGAGCAAGGAGACCUCGGCGGCUCGUCUCCUGCUCGGUUCCCUGCGCCAAAACAAAUCAGCCCCUCCUGGUCUGGGUUUAAAUGCAGCUCACUGGAUAAUUAACUCCAUCUUUCCAGCCCUGCUUUAACUGUUUAUUUAGUGUCACCCCGUAUUACCAUCACUAGCACUUUCCUCUGAACAGGAGGAGCUGGAGGGUUUCACCUCCCAAAAGGAAAUUCUUCCUAGCUUAAAAAGAAUCAGCAUCCCGGAGGUACACGAGCGAGCAAAGAGGGGCUGCGGGUGGGGAGGGGGGGUCCCACGGCAGGGAGGGGGGACGGGGACAUCGGGUCCGGGUCAGCCCACGGAGAAAAAACCCACUCGUGGCCAGCUCCCGUCCUUCGGACAGCGUGCCGAACAGCAAGUGGAUGGGAAAGGAGCCCUCUACAACACAAACCUCAUUGACUAAUGGGCCGGUUUUGGGUUUCGCCUUCGAAAGGUUCGGAAAUGGGCAGCGUUGUGUUACUGCCCUGCCGGCUCCCAGCCUCCGAGGCAGCACGGGGCUUAUUAGCACCGCCGAGACACGGCUCCGAGCAACAAAUAAAUAAAUAAAAGCGCUCUUGCUUUUAUUUCGUCGCGAUGCUUGCGUCCCCAGACCCCUACACUUCGAGACAAAAACACAACAAAAAAAUGAGAAAGCAACAAAAUCAAAUUUCUUUUGGGAAGAGGGUUAUUUCUAAGGGGAGAGGGGAUGCGUGUUCCGCCUGUUUUCUCCAUUGUUUUGCUGUUUGUUUUUUUCCGGCGGAAUCGAUGAAAACCCGCCGAGUGCCUUUGCACGAGCCCCGUCUUCCCCCCCAGUUCCUCGCCGCAUCGAAAAAUCACGGAAAAGAGGAAAAUUUCCAGCGCAAAUGCCACGGAUCCGCGCCCCGGCGGCGGCGGAGGCAAAGCCGGCGUGGAGAGGCUCCGGAGGCUGCAAAGCCCGGGCUGUGCCCAGCCUGCGGGCUGCUGCCCCUCGCCUCCCGAGAAAUAAAGGGGCUGGCGGCUGCUCCGAGCCGCCUUGUUGUUGUUUGGUUGUUUGCAUCCAGUUCUGUUUUAUUUCUUAUUUUUUUCAUUAUUAUUGUUUCUAUUUUUUUUGCGGCUCGAAACCAUUUCUGCGUGAUUUUGAACGGGGGUGAAUGGCACGGCGUGCUUCGCAAAUCCGUGCCAUUUUACCUCUGCCUGGGGUUUAAAGCGAAAGGUUUCAAUUUUUAGGAAAAAAAAAAA